UACGAAGGGUGCAAGCGUUGUUCGGAAUUACUGGGCGUAAAGGGUUCGUAGGCGGGUAUGUAAGUUGAAUGUGAAAACCCUGGGCUUAACCUGGGACGUGCAUCCAAAACUGCGUUUCUUGAGUGUCUGAGAGGGUCGUGGAAUUGCUGGUGUAGGAGUGACAUCCGUAGAGAUCAGCAGGAACACCGGAGGCGAAAGCGACGACCUGGCAGAACACUGACGCUGAGGAACGAAAGCGUGGGGAGCAAACAGG
rnacentral:rRNA from 1 species